GUGAGCGCCUGGAAGCCCGCUCUGUUCUUCCAGAUGAAUGAAGAAGUGAAUCCAAACCUGGAAGUGGAUAUUUUUUAAAAAAAAGUCCCAUCAUCACUUUGGGAGCCGUCAUGUCCAAGUGUCACAAAGGAGAAUUUCUCAAUGAGGAACUGGCCGGCGAGGGGAAAAGUACCCUUCAAGAAGACUUCCUGCUAGAAGUCAAGUGGAGGGCCAGCAACAGUCGCACCACGGAGGCUGAGACCUUUCUGGGUUCAUUUUCCGAGUCUGGAGCCGCUGGUUCCUCCAGAGCCCACACUCUGCUGCCCUCCCAGGCCCCCACACUCCGGCCGCCGAGCUGAAGCCUCAGCCGAAAACGAGAGACAACUGUUGGUCCCACAUUAGGGAUGAGCACACCGAGGCCCAGUUCUGAGGCGGUAAUUUGCUGGCCUGACUCUGGACACCCGCAGACACACCUCAGCUCUCAGGGCGUGUUCCCAGGGCGCGGACCCACCCCGAGUCCUGUUCCUCCCGGAGGGCUUCCAGGCUCCGACCCCGUGACCAAUGGGAGCCCAGGUCCCUCUUCCUUGACAAACUCAAGUUGAUGAUUCUUUCUCUCUGGUCUGAAACCAGUUCCCAUCCCAUCAGGGGGGCCCCUGCACACCUCCCCUGGGCCCCGUUCCUCUCUUGGCUGCAGGCGGAUGGAGAGAGUUUUCAGCAGCGACACGAUCUGGUUCCCAUUUCCCGGAGUUGGGCACUGUGCAGUGCUCUGUCUCAUUUAAACCCACAGCAGCCCUGGGAGGCUCUUACUAUCCCCAUCUGCACGUUACAGAUGAGGAAACGGAGGCUGAGACAGGUGGGUCAUGUGGCGGUGUUGAGACGAGGUUAUCCCGACAGGCCCAUCUGAUCACAUGGUCCCUGAGGGCAGGGACCUUUCCUGGCUGUGGUCAGAGGGUGAGAUGCCUCCAAGGAAGACGGUCCGAGAGAUGCCACGCGACUCGUCUGCCCAUUGUUGGCUUUGAAAAUGGAGGGGGAGGUCUGCGGCCAGGGGAUGCAGGUGACUUUGCACUCUGGACAGAGGUUGGAAACAGAUUCUAUCCGAGAGCCUCCAGAGAACCUGGCCCUGGGACACCGUGAACUCAGGCCAGACUUCCCAUCCACAGCACUCCGAGGGGAUAACUGCAUGGUGUGGAGGCUGCUCAAUGUGUGGGGAUUUCUUUUGGUGACAAUAGAAAUCGAAUGCAGCAAAGUGUUUCAGGCCUGGAGGCCUCUGCCCUCCCUCUCAGGCACAAAAUGCAGACCAUGAGCCCUGUGGCCUUGGACGGCUGUGGGAAAUGCAGAGAUGGGUGGCGCAAGUUACGAGACCCAGUGCCCAGCACACAGUAGGAGCACAGGGGCUGCUGGCUGAACUGGAGUUUGGUGAUGCACUGUUGAGACAGUCUCUUCUAGAGUCAGGCUGUGAUUGGCAGCUGUCCAUCAGGGUAGAGAGCAAGCCUUAGAGGUGUUCAGAGGAGUGGACUAGGCUGGUCACAGAGGCACCAGAGGUACCAGUUGCAGGGACGUCAGCAGAGAGUUGUCUCUGCAAUCCAGACAUGGGAGUGGCCAUCCACACACCAGGUGAAGGCCCCCGGGUCAAGGCGAGGUUCUCUGGAGCAGGGGUUUGGAGUCAGGAUCUCUGAGUUGGGGUCCUUGCUGGGCUGCUGCUGGACAUUGCCACAGCUCUCUGUAGAGCUGCUGUCCCUGGGAGCCUGCACUCUGGGAAGGGUCCCCACGUGUCCUCUGCAUCACCGAGGGCGGGUGGCUCUUGCUCUUCUCCUGUCACUUGCCAUGUGACAUGGAGGAAAGGUGUUUCUUUCUGGGUCCUGUUUCCUUGUCCGCAAAAUGAAGAUGUUGCUCCUGGCAACCUUUCAGGUGCCCUUCAGCUCUAAGAUUCUGGGUAUCUGUGUUUCCAAGUGGGGAGGGGAUCCCCAAAGGAAAAACCAAAGCAAAAGGUUUGGAAGAAUAAAGGCUAACCCAGGCUGGCUGGAAGUCAGACACCGUUCAGUUAAUAGUUGAUUCAAUCCUCUAAAAGGAAGUACUGUUCUUAGUUCCAGGCACAGAGGAGGUAGGUUUCUGGCUUCAGGUCACACAGCAUCAAUGUGGCUUCAUCCUCAGCAGUCAUUCUGUGCUGGCCUUGCUAAUCACCGAGAACUUUGGUCCCUUUUCAUUUUCUGUCAUCCAUUGUUUGAAAGUUCUCUUGGGUACCCCUCAGCAGUUAUCCACCACCAUCUUCCCUUGGCUUCAGCUAUAUUUUGCUGAUGUCAACAGGCUCUAUUUUAAUGUUUCCCAAAAAUUGGGGGCUGAGCUGGGGAAUGUUCUGGGAUGUUCGUGCCCACAUCUCCAUGUUUUGGAGGAUGUGAGUCCUGGGUCCUAAAGAUGACAGUUGUGGUGCCUCUGGGGUGCCCUCACUGUACAAAGGCUCCAUUCCAGGAUCCUGAGGCCUGCCAACCUUCUGUCCUCACACACCUGCUUGACGAGGCAGCUCUUCCUGGGGCCCACACUUGGCAGACAAGGAGAUGGAAGCACACGACAUGGCUAGGGCAACACGCCCAUCUGGCACAGGUUGGGAGGCAUUGCUGGGAUUCACACCCAGGCCCUUUACCCACCAUCUUCACUUUAGGGGCUUUCUCAAGAUGAUACUCUCCGCUGGGAAAUAACUCUGUGGGAUGCUCUUAGAAAUUAGGUAACCAAAGGGUCCUAUGGUCAAAUAUGCUUGAGACAGUGGGUUUAAAUAACACCAAACAAGUUGCUUUAUGUCUGGGUCUUUGAAUAAACCAAAUAGAUCUUCAAAAGCAGGACACAGCAGGCACAUUUGUUAAACUCAUUUGACCAUGAGGGCUCUUUACUUUUGGUGAAUCAUCUUGAGGUACACAUGGUGUCAAUCAGCUCUAGAAGCAUCACAGAUGGGAAGGAUGUUUUGGGGAAGAACCAUAACUCCAGAUUCCCUCUAGUCCUCCCUCCUCCAUUCCAAUUUCCCCCCAAACAUCCCUUGAAUAACCCACACCACUGGUCCUGCUGUAUACCCAGUGUGAGUUCAGGGGAAAGCAAGCUUAAGUACUGAGCUUCUGUACAGUGAAGUGCACUUUCCACAUUGGUAAUUUGCCCUUGAGAGAAUCUGUUGUGAAGUAGGAUUUCUGGUAAAGCAAAUCGCUAUGAGCAGACUGGAGAAUCCAGAAUUUUGUUAAGUAGGCUUCAAAGAGAGAUAUAUCUGGCCUUUUCCUUUAAGGGUGGGAGGAAAACGUUGGAUGGAGGGAGGGGAGACAGACCAGGGCAUGGAAGCCCUCCGAUAGAAGCUGUUGGUUUCUCCCCAGAGUUGCAGAAAAUAAUAAUAUGACUUCUGCUUUUCACCUCCUCUGGGGGCAAUCCAGGAGCUUGUCUGAGAGGACAGAGCCGGGCCGUGGCGAGUGGUGCCGUCCAGCGUUGAAUCGUAGAGCGUCUAGGCCAUCCGCCCUGCUGGCCUGCUGCGCUCACGGUGCCUGCAGACGUCUUGCACCCUUUAACUUGGCUGGCGAGCUUUUUCCUUGCUGGGUGUCAUUGGUCUAUUCAUGUUUAGUCCCACUCUCUGGGAUCUCCAGGCAGCUAGGUUGGACCUGCUGCGAGCUGGGCCCUGUGGCUGCAGUGAUGAUCCACGCACUCAUGUGUGAAGUCACUCGUUUGCUGGUGCAUUCAGUCAUCCCCAGGGCCCAGAGGCACAGAGAUGCCUGGCGUGGGUUCUCUGCUGGGGAGGAGGGCUCCCUGGCUCAGCAAGGAAGAGGCCACAUGCACAGCUGAUCAGAGCUUCUGGCAGGAGUUAGGGCGCAACAGGGACAGGCAAGGGCAGACGUUCAGAAGUCCUAACGGAAGCUGGGUCAGGGUCGUUGCAGGUGUUUUGGGUACCAGGGCCAAAUGAGCUGCGCUUUGAGGGAUGUGGGCUGUGGCCCCACAGAAAAGACCUUCUGGGACACGGAGCUGCCCGAGCAAGGAGAUGAGUCCGAGAAAGUCCAGAGGGUGUGACUGGCUUGUCAGCAGAAGUGACACUAGAUUUAAGAUUUUUGCCAUUUCUGUGACUACUGUGACUCUUCUUAUGCUAGAUGUGUCCCUAACAUCUGUCACUGAUGGAAAUCUUUCUAGGUGGAGAAUUUCUAAAAAGCCCACUUGAAUUAUUUAACUUGAUAGCUCAUUUAUUUAUUUUAUUUUAUUUUUUACCAGCAGAAUGGGAACAGAUAUCUACCCAAGUUACGGACGAUGAGUGAAUGAGGUAUAUAAAGUCUGGCGCUCUGGGGAUACCUAAUAAAUGCUCAGGAAAUGUAGUCAUCACCAUCCUCAUCACCAUCACCAUCACCAAAUGCUGGAAGGAACCAGCAUUCGUCAGACAGCUUGGCCAUGAGAUCUCAAAGGCAGACACUCUGAACGAUCUCGAAUCCUCUGCACCUGACAGUUUCUGGGCUGGUCUCUCUCAGUGAAUGACUUGCAGGUGAUUUCAAUGGUUGAAUAAGCAAAUAUCCCUUCUCUCUAGAAAUCCUGAUUCCCGAUUUCCUCUUUUCCUUGGGAAUGCAGUCAGCAGCCCUGGGCUGGGUGGGAAGACCCCGCACCUCGGGACCCGCCCUGCAUCUUCUUGUGCAUCCUCUGAGAGUCCCUUGUGGAUGAGGAACAUCUGACCCCUGUUUAGAAAGAUGGCCUUUCACAAUCCGCCAGUUCCCUAGAUGCAACUUGCUGAGCUGACAGAAUGUGCAGAGAAGAACUAACUAUUUUUAGCACGAACUGGAAGAAUUAGAACUUUGCUCUCUUCUCAAAUAUCAACCCUGCAGUGUGCGGGAGGCACAAGGCCACCGCUGGAGAGCGGGGUGGAGGGAGAUGGUCGUCACACUCGUGUGGCUGCAGUCCCACCGGAAACAGCGGGGACCCCAGGAUGGCGCUCCUGCUCGGGUCGGGUGUGAUGGCAGGUGCUGGACCCCACAGGGUCGUUUCGGUCUUCAGUCACUUCAGGCUGCUGGUUUAACCCUCCCUAAUCUGCAGAUAGGAAAAGUGAGGCAGAGAGGAGAGAAACGCCACCAAAGCCACCGCAGAGAUGAGAGUGGAGCUGGAUCCCACCCUGGUCUGUCUGCUUCACGCUCAAGGCGUCUCUGAGGAUAAAAGUCAUGCAACAGCCAGAGCAGAAAGGACUGGCCAGCCCAGCCUCCUGGCUGGAGAGCGGAAUCGUCGCAUGGCUCAUGGGGCACUUUGUUUUGCUGGUGGGCACAGUGGUGGCUUCGUGGAUGGGACCUCGGGGAUUCUGUCCUGAGGAGCGCCCGAGGGACGCUGAGGACCUUUUUAUUUUGCAUCUGCGCACGGCCUCCACUGUUCCCCUGAAAUACCUUCCUCCCCGCAGCGGGACUCUAGGAGGCUGCCCCAGGCAGGGCUGGGCACUUGCCCCAUCUUGGAAAUCAGACCCUGGGAGAGUAAAUCAUGACCAAAACCUGAACACAGCCAGAGCCCAUUGGUCCACAGUUGCUGACACCUGGCUCCACGCGUAGCUGUCCCUUCUUUCCAAGAGCUCCCAGGGCAGGUACUGUGGCUCACUCAGUGCACAUUCCAACUCCCUCCAAGCUGUGCUUUCUCUCCUCCAGGAAGUGCAAGGCUCAAAGCCCACUAGCAGACUUCCCUGCAGCCAGGGUGGCAUGUGACUUAGCUGGUAAGGGACAAGUGCAAGUCUGUUGGACUAUUUGUUUCCUCUUCCUUCUUCCUCCAGGAAGGUGAGCAUGAUGGCUGGAGCUAUGGCAGAUACCUUAUGAGCAUGAGGGAAAGCUUAGGAGAACUGCAGAGACAAACCAGACACUGCUCAGUAACAUCAGGCAAGACUACUUGAUGAAGAGCUCCCUCCUGCUACUGUUUGGGGGUUUCUCUUACUUCCAGCUAAACACUCCUCUUAGGUGGUGUGUAACCUGUGUAUUUCCUUUGCACUUUCCAAAAUGAGGAGUGUGCUUGGACUAGUUUUGUUCACAAUCAAAAGCCCUUAAUCAGUUUAAGGAAAGGGGUACAGUGCAAAGGGGAGUCACAGAGGGACUGGCAGGACAGCGGAGGUGUGGUGGGAUUUACAUUUUCAGAUGGACAGGUUGAACCGGGAGCAGAGACUGGUUCUGCUGCCAUCGUCCAGAGAAGUCUGGGGAGCGGGGGCAGGGAAGCAAAGCCCAAGUGAAGAGCUUGCGGAGCUGGCGGGAGGAGGCCUGGACCGCAGGACGGUGCACAGAGCACCUCGCCCACCUGCCCGCCCCGGGUGGUGCCGAGUCGACAGAGCUCUAGGGGACACGCCAGACUCCCACCUGCCGACUCCCUGUUCCGAAGCUGGACACAGGGUCCCUUGGUCACUGCAGUUCUUCUGUGCAGGAGGCUCCCACUGAGGGGGCAGCCCGCCGUGUGACACUGGACACACUCCAAACACCUUCUCAGAUGGUCUCAGCCCUCCUUCUCCUGCCUCCUUUCCUUUCUUCCCUCCACCGGGGAUUCUCUUCCUUCCUCAUAAACAGACAAGUCCCUCUUGGAUCCCCUCCUCCCCCUCCUCCUUAUCCCUCAGCUUCUCCAGAAACCCCUGUUGGGAUUUCCCACCCAAACCCCUCCUGGGCUCCGCUGAGACAGGGGACACCCCAGGCCUGCCAGGGAUGGGGCUGGACCUGAGGAGCUGAGGGCCACGGGCCACGGAAUCAGAACUCGUUCGCCAUGGACAGGUUUCCUGAGAUGCUCUUAUGAGAGGAAACGAUUCCUGUGGGAUGGGGGCGAUUCCUGAAGCCGGGGUGGCAGGGUCCUGGGGCUCAGGCAGGUGAUAUUUAGCUGACUGUGCCUGAGUCUGGAGGUUCCAGGCCCCAGGUCGUCCAUCCAGGGGCCCAAACCUUGACAGCAGCCUGGAGUCAUGUCUCUCCAGCCGGGAGAUCUGAAUACACAGCUCAGCUCCACUUCACGCCGCCUUCUCCUUCAGUACCUAUCUACUGGGUGACCGCUAGGACCCAGGCAGCGAGAACGCUGGGUAGAAAGACAAUGGCCCUGCCCAGGGAGCUGCAGGUGUAGGUGGUGAGAGAGAUGCGUUUUGUCCUCAUCUGUCCUAAGUAAUAAUCAUAGAAAUGGGAGCUGGGGAGUACGUGGGCCACAUAGGUCACUGCAUUCCGUCUCACCAAAGACCCCAGGAGAAACCGCCAGCUACCCAGUUUGCAGGUGGGAAAUUGAGAUCUCGAAAGGUCAAGAUCACAAAUGUAUCAAGUGGCAGAGCUGGGAUUUAUGUCCUCACUUGUAAAUACAUCCCGCUUUACUCCUCCACACUCACACAGAAAACAUGUGCACACACACAGACACGUGCGCACACACAAGCACACGCACACACUCUCCAAGAAGAGCAUCUACCCAGCCUCGGCCUCAGGAAGGGGCAAGGGGAUGUGCAGCCUCAGGAGGUGUGGGAGCUCCCCAGAUGGAGGAGGCAAGGGCUGACCAGGCAGGGGGAGGGCAGGAGCCAUGUGGUGGUGAGAGAGGUGGUGGCCUGGGAAUCCGUCAGUUCUUCAACCUGGUCGAUGUGUGGCUUUACUGGAGGGGAGGGUGUGAGGUGGACAAGGUCAGACAGGGUGGGCUCCAGGUGCCACACUAGGAGGUCCUGGCAUUUGUAUUUCAGAAGGUCAUUCUGCUGGCUUAUCUGGAAGUUGGUAGGAUGAGGACGGAGGGGUGCAGUCACCAGGAACAUUAUAAAUGGCUGGAGGAGGUGGCCUGACUAAUGUUCAUGCUCUGCAAGGCAAGACUGGCUACCUGGCCACAUUGUCUCUGACCACCCUCUGUGUGGGAUGAGGGGAGAUUCCUGAAGCUGGGAAUGGCAGGGUCCUGGGGCUCAGGCAGGUGAUAUUUACCCCAAAAUCUGGAGUAAAUGAGGAAAUGUCUCCUAAGCCCUGUCAAAAGGACAGAGAUCCUGAAGGAACAGAAGGUGUGAGCUCACUCCAGCUUUAACUUGUCAUCUGAGGAAAGUUUGGGCUGAAUUUUUUUGUCUCUGAAUUUCAGUUUUCUCUUCUAUACAGUGGAAGCAUUAGUAGCAACUUCACCACAAACAUAAUAGAAAAUAAAUCAGACAAGAUGAAAAUAAAUACGUGGGGCUGGGGAUGUGGCUCAAGUGGUAGCGUGCUUGCCUGGCAUGCGUGCGGCCCGGGUUUGAUCCUCAGCACCACAUCAAACAAAGAUGUUGUGUCCGCCGAAAACUAAAGAAUAAAUAUUAAAAAAAACCCAAUUCUCUCUCUCUUAAAAAAAAUAACCUCGCUAUAGCUAUUUUAUGCUUUACUCUUUGCUCUGUACACCUAGUAAUGAAUAAUAAAGGCUUAAAACAAUA